rnacentral:lncRNA from 1 species
AGAGAAGGAAGGAGGCAGUGACCAAGGCCAAGAGUUAAGCAAUAGGGAGUGGUGAGAACUGAGGCAACUGGAGGAGCAUUUGCUUCCCCUAAAAGGGAUAGCUGCUCCCCACUCAGCAGGCCGUGGGCCCCAGUCACCACCAUAAUCUUAAAACCAAUGGACCUUCCAUGCCUUGUGAACUUGACCUCUUAGGCAGCUCUGUUCUGGCCAACCUCAGUGCCAGACUUUCUUGACUUGCCUUCUACCCCAAGAUCCCUCUGCUAGGGGCUGGGGAUGUAGCUCAGGAAUAGAGCACUUGCCUAGCAAAUUUGAGAGGCCCUGGAUUUGAUACCCAGCAACAACAACAAAAAAAAAGAAAAAGAAAAAGAAAGAAAGAAAGAAAAGAAAUAAAAAGACUCCUUGGCUGGCUCUUCUUCCUGUUUGUCCUCUGCUUGGUGGACUCUCCCCAGCAGGCCCAGGCCCUUCUCUCAUCUGUCUCGGCUUCCACCUUUCUCUGGGCCAUCUUACCUCUCUGAAAGGCAGUGGUUCCCAAAGUCGUAUUUCCAACAUGGAUCUUCUGAAAUCGAUGGGAUCCUUGAGCAUUUCACAUAAACAAACCCAGUUGGAGAUUUUCAUCUCUUCCUACAAAUCUUUCCCUUCAGUUUCCCCCAUUUCAAUAAAUGGAACUGCUAAAC